CCCCUCUCAGGAUCACAUCUAGAGAGUUUCCAGUACCCUAAAAGUUAUGGCUAUGGGAGGGAGAGUCAAGCAGAGGCCUACCCGUUCCAUUCCUAGCUUGGGACGUGGCUAGCAAGUGGAAGGCAAUCUGCUACAAGU